UUUUUGAGGGGGGGAGGACGGAGGGCAGCAGGAAGUCUCCCUUCUUGAGAAAACCCUGAUAUGUCCUCACCCAGCCCAUAUUUUCUAAAAAUGCUCCUGUAGACCAUAGAAGCCUUCCUGGAAGUAACCUUUCCUGAAGACUGGGUCUCUGCUUUGCAGCCCCCCCAAGUCUGGGUCACAUUUUUACUGUCUCUAUUUACAUCCAAAUCAGGUGGCAGAGACCUUGGUGGACGCCUGUAAAACUCCAGUUGCCAAUCUCCAUCUUGAAGGCAGAGGAAUUGUAGGGUGAAUGUAGGUAACACUAAGGAGACCUCAGCUAUUCCUUGACCUCUCUUCUGACCAAUCCUUGGGGGAGGGAGCUGGGAAUAGCUAUAAAUUCAAAUGGGAUUUAAUUGACCAAUCGCAUUUCCCAUUAUUGUCACUUUUCCUCUAUUCCUUUAAAUUACAAUUUGCCCUGGCUGUCCAACACUUGUCCUAAAGGAUCAUUGAGGUUAAAGGAACUGGAAGUCAAAUACAUUUAGAAUAUUAUAUACUGUCCUGGAUAUUGUCUCUUAAAACAUACAUUCUGAUUUUUCAAAAAAAAUAUUAGUGCUAUUACUUUGUAACGAACAGUCUGACAACUGUCACUAUUUGGUGAAGGCAUGCAAUUUCCUUUAGAGAAUGGGACUGCCUGAAAAGCCUCCCAAAAGAGAAAAGAAUUCUUCAUGGGCCACAUUAAAGGCUAUCGAAGUCUUUCAUCAAUGUGAAUAACUUUGUCUUUUUCAGUGCAUUUUUUUCAGUGCUGCAGGAAGAAUAAUCUGGACUUCCUGCAAUAACAUCUAUAAAGCUUCUCUUUACCGAUCCCAGAGGGUCGUACUUGUGGGUCAGCCAGGAGUUCUGCCUCUUGUGCAUUGCAUGAAAGAGCCCCAAUGUGAAGCUUGUCCUGGAAAGAGGAGCCCUGGGGGUCUCUGGGGCCCCCUCCUCCCGCCUGCUGCAUUGGAGGAUGAAGGCAGAAAGCAGGUCAGGCUGGGAUAGAUCCUCUCCAUUCUUUUUUUUCAAAAAUAUUUUUUUUAUUAUUUUAUAUCAUACAUUUCCAUUCUACGUUGAGCAGUGUGUCUCUAGGUGUCCAAGGUGCUAACAUACAAAUGUACAAUCAUCAUCAUCAUCAUCAUCAUCAUCAUCAUCAUCAUCAUCAUCAUAUAUAAUCACAGCUGAUAAGGGAAGAGAGCUUAUGGUUUAGAGGUUAUUACAACUGCCUAACAUGUAAAAUAGCCUAAAUUCAAAUCCCAAUAAGGGUAUGGCUAGCUGAUGAGAACUGAAUAGCUUGAAAUAGAUGUAUACUAGUCUCCCUUCAUUUAUUUAUCAGCAAAAAAUUGCUGAUAAAUAGCAAUUUAUCAGUCAUAUUAUAACAUAGAUUAUUGUAUCAAUUAUAUAACCAUCAACAAAAAUUUACUCCUGUUUUUCUUUCUCAUGUAAACCACAUUUCACCUAAUUCCACUCCUCUAACCCCAAUAUCUGUCAUUUAACCAUGUAUAGAAUAGUCCCCAUGUUAUGACAUAAUCUGAAUCUUCUUUUCCUUUGAUUCUUAGGGUUACCUUUCCAUCUCUGCACAUUCUGGAAUUAUUUUUAAUUAUUAUUAUAUCGUCUGCAGGGGUUCCUGGGUUUUCCCAGCAUUGUGCAUAUGCUAUCCUGGUGGUCGUCUCCAUUCUGAAAGCCUGCAGAGACCUGGAUGACUCCUUGCAUACACACUGCACCCCCCCCCCGUGUCCUCAGGACUGUGUGGUAGACAGGAGAGAGGAGGGGGUCAUAGCCCCCCCACCCUCUGUUGGGAGAGGGCUGUUCCUUUUAACGUAGAUGAUCUCUUGGACCCUCUUUCCAACCAGGGGUCUCCUCUGUCCAGAGCGUGGACUUGGCUCUCUCCGAAGACAGCAACACGGUCCUUUCCCCAGUUCCAAGGAAAUUCCCCCCCCCCCAUUUUCCCUCUGAUUCAGGUGACCCUGAGGGGGCAGAUAAACCCCCAGGUGGCCUCAAGGCCUCUCAGAAAGCUCAUGGCUGACCUUCACAAGCCUAACCACCAAAGGGCUGCCAAGAAAUACAUCCUUCCAUUCCCCACCAUUCAGUCGGAACUGAAGAAGCCUCUUGGAGGAGAAGCCAAACGUUUUCAAGGGAAAAAAACCAAGAAAUUCCAGCUGUCUUUUGAAAAGCCCCUUUGGGAUGUGCGCUGAAGAUGCCCCAAAGAGGGAUGGGGCUUUUGAGGUCUGUUCCAUCUCUAAACAAGGAAAAGGGAUGAAGUGGGAGAGCCUUUCUUUUAGGCUGCACCUCAGGUCUUCUGCAGGAGGUGCCCUUUGCAAAGAGCAGACAUGGAUCCAAACGAGCUUCUGCGGCCAUCCAGCGACAGACCCCAGAAUGUCCUUGGGGACCCCUGGAAGGUGAUUCUGUUUGUCCUUGGGGUCUAUGUAUUCGUUGGCCUCUGCGUAUUUCUCCACCUAUGCAAAAAAAGGUGUCUGCAAGUGUCGCCAGAACAACGAAAGGAAGAUGUGGAGGCCACCAUAAUCACGGUGGAACCGUACCUACCGGGACCCAUCUACCCCCACAUCCCCAUCAUUGAUGAGCGAAGGAUGUCAGACGUUCUGCCUUGCACCACAAUGUGAUGGAUGUUAAGUGUUUGAACUAAUUUGGUUUUUUCUCAUUAUGAUGAUAUUAUUGUUAUUUAAUUCUUAGAUGGAUUCUAUUCGAGAGGCAGAAAAACCCAGCUGACUGCAGUUAGUGGGCAACUUGGAGGCUGCAAGAAGAUGAAUAGCUGCCAGGGGUGAAAUGCCAAAACAACAGGAGCCCAAUUUGGACCCCUUCGGCAUUGACAACCUCACCAUCAGUCAAUUGCCAAAGGCCGCCUUCCUUGGAACAUCUGACAUCCAGUCCGAACAUCUGGCUGACUGUCUGAAGAACCACAAUCCCCCCGUGAGGAAGGACCAUGACGUGGUUGUGGGGCUUGUGUGCUCUGAGGAAGAUGAGGGCUACAACUGAGGUUCAACCAUGCUGGACAGGACUCAUGAGGGGAAUCGGACAAAGAGUGUCUCUCCCAUAAACAAUUGGGGAAAACACACAUGA